UCCAGUGUUUUUAACAGAGCUUUAAGUUUUUCAAAAUAAUUCAUAUAGGUUACCUUGUUUGAUCUUCGCAGUAUCUCUGGAAGGUAGGUGCUGAAACUGAAGCUUUAACCAAAAAAAAGAAAAAAAGAAACUGAAGCUAAAAAAAAAAUGAUUUCCCAGUGUAUUGGCAAAUAAUCUUGUUCUUGAAGUUGCCAAAGGAAAUUCCCCUACAACAACAACCAAAAUGUUCUCUACUGUGAUAGGAAUUUUCCCUUUUUAUAGGUCAGAGCUGGCAGCAAAUGCAAAAAUGGGACAAUUUGGCACUAUUAACAGAAAACUGGAUUUUUAAAAAAGGGAUAUAUUGAAAAGAAAAAGAAGUAUUUGUAGAAUUUAUUGUGAGAUGUAUCAUGUUAGCUUUACUUUUUAAAUGUGUGACAGAAUAAAGUUUUACAUUUACAUUGACAUUUUGUUGGAAAACUGUGAAGCUCAGGCAGAAAGUGAUUUGAUCUUAGACAACAUUAGCAAGUAUUUGGACAUAAUAUGAAGUCUUUUUAAGUCAAGCUACCAGUAUACUAUGUUGUACACUCUCUGCAUUGGAGUUUGUUUCCAAUCUAUAUAAUUUGAUCAAAAAUUCUAUUUUUCUAACAAUUAAAUUCAAGCAGAAGUUGUUGUAUCUGAAUCCAAGUUGUUUUCUUUGUGAACAUACUAUCAGGGACAGCUGGCUUUAGGCAAUAUUGCCUUGCUCAGAACUAUGACAUUAUGAACUUUGCCACUGUUGUAUCUGAAUCCAAGUUGUUUACUCUAUGAACAUAUUAUCAGGGACAGCUGGUUCUAGGAAAUUUUGCCUUGCUCAGAAUUAUAACAUUCUGAACUUUGCUAGAAAGCUUGAAGAUAUUCAAAGAAAUGUAGAUGCCAAAUAGAAAUCUCUUAGCUCUUUUUAAUGGAUUUUUUUUCAUUUUAUUUUACACUUCAUUAACUAACAAGAAUUAUUUUUCCUCCCAAUUCCCCCUCCUUCUUAUAACACAUAAGCAUGGUCAAGGAAAACAAAUUCUAGCAUUAGCCAGGUCUAAAAAUGCUUUGUGUUAUUCUGCUAUAUCCAGGAACUUGAUGAUGGGAGGGUCACUGUCAGCUUGCCUGGUUUCCUUCAGGAAUCAGUUUAAAUUUUCUCUUCUGCAAGAAACCUUUUCCAGUUCCUUUUAAUUAUUGUGCCUUCCAGCUAUGAUUACCUUCAAGCUAUUCUCAACAAUAAAUGGAAAAUCAACAUAACAAACAACCAAGGCCUGAUUUGAAACAUUUGCCUAUUUCUGGGAUAUAACUACUCACACUGAAAAUUUUACAAUCGGCUGUCAUGUCCUGGUUUAAGCUGGUUUCAGUACAUGUCUGCAACAUUAUCUCUCUUCACAGUAGAAAAAUGGAGAACUACUAAGACAGAAUGAGUAUUCAAGCCUUGAUUGCUACUUUGGGUGUUUUUGCUUAAUUACAUUUUCUUUGUUACAAUAAAAUGUUCAUAUUUCCAAAUAUGACUGUGAUUAUAAAAAGAAGACAUCAAUAAAACUUUUUAAAAGAUAUUGCUAAAAUGAAUAUUUGCUUUACAAGCAAUGAGAAAGAGAUCUUGAAUCAUGAAGGUAAUAUAAAAAUAAAAU